rnacentral:rRNA from 1 species
UGGACCUGAUUCAAACA